UACGAAGGGGGCAAGCGUUGUCCGGAUUUAUUGGGCGUAAAGAGCGUGUAGGCGGCCAAGCAGGUCCGCUGUGAAAACUCGAGGCUCAACCUCGAGAGGUCGGUGGAAACCGUUUGGCUAGAGUCCGGAAGAGGAGAGUGGAAUUCCCGGUGUAGCGGUGAAAUGCGCAGAUAUCAGGAGGAACACCGGUGGCGAAGGCGGCCAGCUGGCUCUGACCUGACGCUGAGGCGCGAAGGCGUGGGGAGCGAACAGG
rnacentral:rRNA from 1 species